AUGACAAACAUUUUAUGUAGACCUACAGGAAGAAUAAUGGUUUUAAUAGAUGAUAUAAAAAAACAAAAUUUUAAUUUUGAUUUUGAUAAUAUGAAUGAAGAACAUGAUACAAUUGAUACAUCUAAUGACAUAACAGAAAAUUUAUAUAAAAAAAAUAUUACUAAAAGUAAUUAUAAUAAUAGUAAUGAUAAUUAUGAUAAAUUUCAAAAUGGUUCUACUUCGACAGUUGAAAAUGGUGUAUCUGAUACGAAACAAACUCAAAAAGAAAAUAGGAAUUUAAAUGGGGAUUCAAAUACAAACCCAAAUCCAAAUGCACAUACAAAUACAAAUCCCAAUACAAACCCAAACCCAAACGACGAAGAAAGUAAUCAAAAAGUUGAUAAACUACAUGACCAAUCGAAUGAUAACAUAGUGUUAAACCAUAUAUAUAAUAAUCCCAAUCUGAAAAAUUUAUUCAAUAAUUGUAAAUUCCAUAUAUGUGAUAAUUAUGAAAUUGAAAGGUAUGUUGAAGAAUGCGAAAGAUUUAUACGAUUCAGUGAAGAUAUAAAAAGAAUAUCCAAAUUUGAAAAUUUACACAAAAUUGUCACCAUAAUAAAUAUUCCCAACUGCUAUGGUAGAAAAGAAUUAUCACAUGUUAUUUAUGAAUGUGCUGGAAUAAAAGUAGAAAAAAAAAAUAUUAUUUUUAGAUUUAAAAAAAAUGGAAUUCAAAGUGAUUGUGCUUAUGUCUUAUGUAAUAAUACAAAUGAUGCUAAUGUUUUAAUUCAUAAAAUGCAAGAAUAUCCUAUAGCAAAAAAAUAUCAUUUAAAAGAAUUUUAUGGCACAGCUUUUUUAUAUGCAUCUAAAAAUAAUUUAUUUAUUAGUUCUGACAAAUUAGAUUAUAGUAUUUUUUUUUCUAAAUAUUUAAUAUUUACAUGUGGGUGGUAUAAAGAUAUAUCAAUAAAAGAAUUUGAAAGUUUUUUAAUAACAUUAAAAAUUUUUCCAAAAAAAAUUAUUAAAAUUAAUUAUAAUAAAAUAAAUCAAAAAGAAAAUGAACAUAAACAAAAUACUGAGUCAGAAGAUAUACCGGAAGUAUUUAACUCAGAACAAAAGAGGGACAUAAUCGAUACAAAUACAAAAAAGGAUUUAACAGAAAGUGAUCAGUCGAAUAACAAAUUAGUUUUAUCAGAAAAUAACCCAAAUCACAUUUUAAUAAAUAUCAACGAGCCUAGUUCCGACAAAGAAAAUAGCCACAUUACAACAAACGAUACUAAUGAUUUAAAUACAUCAUCUUUUGUUUUAUUUUUUGAAAACAUGAGAAUGGUUAAGAAAGUAUUUACAAAAUUAGAUAGACUAAAAAAAAAAGUGGAAAAUUGCAACUACUAG
rnacentral:lncRNA from 1 species